GCUGGGACUAGGGGAGUGGGGUGCUGGGUUAGGAUCCCCUAUUCUCUCUCUGGAUGCUGGAGGCUCUAGCGUGCAGUCUAAAUUCUCUCCCAAGCCUGCCUCAGACAAAAAUCUUUAUUGGGGGGGGGGCGUUGCAACGCCUGAAGAACGGUCUCAUGGAGACUCCUAAAAGGGCUAUCCUUUCUCUUUUCUGGUGAUGGCUGCGAAGGCGCUUUUCCUCUUGCACCCUAGGGUUGGUGUCUUCUCUGUUUCUCUGGGAGUAAUUACAACCCUGUAAGGCGCUUUACUCAGGUCUCUAAUCUGCUGGGGCCCUCCCUGAUCCAAACUGGGUGGUCCUAGCCUAGAGCCUCCCCUACCUUCAUCAGAAGACCCCCAUCCCCCGCCCCCACAUCUCUCCAGAAGGAUUUUUCUUUCCUACGGCUCGUCGCGAUAAAGAGUAGUAAGCCUCACUUCACCCUCCUCCCCGAAAAUACUCGGGGCUCUGGAGUGGGCUCUCCUAUCUCCUGUUUCAAUGCCCGCCCGCUGAGGUGAGGGCUUCGAGCCAAGUCGGGCUUGGCUUCGGACAGGGUGCAGGGAGCUUGCUGGGAAGGUGGAUCGAUAGUAGAGGUACUGGUGCAGAGAGGACCAGACUGGAGGGAGGAAGGAGGGGCCGCUGGGCUCUGCCUAUCCUAGCCCUGCUCUUUGUCCUGACCUGGAGGUCAUUUCUCUAGUUGUCCACAGAUUAGGGCCAGGGAGGCACUGUCUCCCUGUCUCUCCUUCCCCUUCCUAACCACUGGACCCUCCUUCCUUAGAGCACCUCCACAGAACAGUCAUUCCAAGGGAGAGGGCAGGGAGUACGAUUCAGGGAAAGGGAGAAGUUUCAGGCAACCUAGCAGCAGUUUCUAUCCCAGUAGUAAGUAACUGGCGCUUUGAACCCUGGGGGGAGGGGGGAGGGAAGAUUCGCCCGAGGUGGAGGCUGAGUGACUUUAGAAAAGGAUGGUGCUAAAGGCCAGCAACGAGAGUGACACGUCUCCUGAAACUCUAAAGUUGAUAAACAGCAGUAGUGAUGUGGGGGUGCAGUGCAGCCCACAGUGGCUGCCUAGCGUGCACUAAGCCCUGGGCUCGGAUUUCCAGCACUACAUCAAGCAGGCGUGAUGGCACAGGCGUGAUGGCACAGGCCGGCAAUCUCGGCACUUGGAAGGUGGAGGCUGGAGGAUCAGACUUUCAAGACAGGCUUCAGGGGGAAAAACAGCUUGGUGGGUAAAGGUGCUUUCAGCCAAACCUGAUGAUCUGAGUUGGAUUCCUGGGACCCACAUGGUAGAAGAGAACGAAUUUCUGCAAGUUGCUCUCUGAUCUCUGCACUCCUAUGUAGAAUUAAGAAUGUACUUCAUCCCGGGAGGCAGGUUUCUGAGUUCAAGGCUAAUCUGGUCUGCGGAUUGAGUUCCAAGACAGCCAGGGCUACACAGAGAAACCAACACACAAACACACACACACACACACACACACACACAUAAAUAAAUAAAUAAAUAAACAAACAAAAGAAAAAAUAUAUUUAGAUUGGGACUCACUGUGUAGCCCUGGCUGGCCUGUAACUCACCCAGUGUACCAGAAUGGCCUCCAAUUCACAGAGAUCCACCUUCUUUCUCCCUGGUGCUAGAAUUAAAGGCACAUGCCACCAAUUUUUAAAAGUAAGGAAUAUAAUAAAACUCCCUUUAAAUAGUAUUAUAAUAUUUAAAUAGUAUUUAUAAUAAUAAAUAAAAACCCCUGGUUAUGGGGCAAUUUUGAGGGCAAUUGGGAUGUAUGAGAUAUGCUUCACAAUAAAUAAAAAAAUUAAAU
rnacentral:lncRNA from 1 species